GGAGAGGUGGCCGAGUGGCUGAAGGCGCACGCUUGGAAAGCGUGUGUACCCUUCCGGGUACCGUGGGUUCGAAUCCCACCCUCUCCG
rnacentral:tRNA from 1 species